CUCAGCUGCUGCCGCUGCAUGACCGAGGCCAGGGUUCAGGUCGAGGUGUCUGGUCCUGAUGGCUCAGGACACUUUGAUCAAGCUCCAUAGAAUUGUUUCUCCUUCAUGAGGCUUUUGAACCAAAGUUUGUGUCACGCUACUUUACCAACCAAAGCUGAGAAGAGACUACAGGCUGUGUCCCCAAAAAGUCAGGAGCUAGUCGUGCAUUUUCAGGCAUUUCACCUGUGAAAUGCGACUGCUGGUGCAAAUUUCCCUUUUGGAGGGUGCAGUUGUGAAGCAUUCGGUGAACACCGCCAGCACGCCAGGAAAACUGCAGCUCGGGGAAAGCUUUCAUCAGAAGCAACUUUCUCGGUAUCUCCUAUUUGAAGGACACAAGAAUAAAUCUUAGUACGUCUUUUUACGUGGAUUUUAACACAGUUAAACCAAGACAAAGUUGCAUUUGUAAUACAUUAAGCUUUUUUAGUUUUUUAUUCUGUUUUAGAACAUGCAUCUGACUUAUCUCUGCACCAUCCUUACCGUGAUUUUAUACUGGACAUUCAAGAGACUGAUAUUUUUGCAGAUUUCAGGGCAUCUGGAGAGAAAUCUAAUGGUUCAUAGAAAAAGCUAACUGCCAAGUCAGGAAGAUAUACUAUUACAAAAUAGAAUUAAUAGUGUAAAUAGCAAAUAUUGUCAUUACAGUAUCUAUUUUCAGUAAACACAUUGAAAUGGAAACAUGCAAGUAUACAGAAAGCAGAGUUAUCUCCCAUUAAACAAUAAGUGGAUAUGUUUGUAGCUGGAAUUUACUAUAAAACAUUACUUAUGUCUUCUGUGGAAUUUGCAAGCUAAAAUCAGCCUGCAUGCCGUUCCCAGUUUCGCCGGCGGGCCUUGCUGCGGAGAGAGGGAGGCUCGGCGGGCCGGGCGUGAGGAGGUGCCCGGUUCGGGGAUCCGGAAACGGCGAAAAGGGAGGCUCAACAACUCCUGGAUUUGCCCCCCGGUGACGACACGCAGCGGCAUUUAACAUCUCGUUCCCGUAACCCUUUCCUGCCCGCCGGCUCCGGGAGGCGGAGGA